rnacentral:rRNA from 1 species
GAUCCUGGCUCAGAUUGAACGCUGGCGGCAGGCCUAACACAUGCAAGUCGAGCGGUAGAGAGAAGCUUGCUUCUCUUGAGAGCGGCGGACGGGUGAGUAAUGCCUAGGAAUCUGCCUGGUAGUGGGGGAUAACGUUCGGAAACGGACGCUAAUACCGCAUACGUCCUACGGGAGAAAGCAGGGGACCUUCGGGCCUUGCGCUAUCAGAUGAGCCUAGGUCGGAUUAGCUAGUUGGUGGGGUAAUGGCUCACCAAGGCGACGAUCCGUAACUGGUCUGAGAGGAUGAUCAGUCACACUGGAACUGAGACACGGUCCAGACUCCUACGGGAGGCAGCAGUGGGGAAUAUUGGACAAUGGGCGAAANGCCUGAUCCAGCCAUGCCGCGUGUGUGAAGAAGGUCUUCGGAUUGUAAAGCACUUUAAGUUGGGAGGAAGGGUUGUAGAUUAAUACUCUGCAAUUUGACGUUACCGACAGAAUAAGCACCGGCUAA